GUGGCGACCGGCGCACGGGUGAGUAACGCGUAUGCAACCCAUCUAUCAGAGGGGAAUAACCCGGCGAAAGUCGGACUAACACUGCAUAAAACAGGGACACCGCAUGGUGAUAUUUGUUAAAGAAAUUCGCUGAUAGAUGGGCAUGCGUUCCAUUAGGUAGUUGGUGAGGUAACGGCUCACCAAGCCGACGAUGGAUAGGGGAACUGAGAGGUUGGUCCCCCACACUGGUACUGAGACACGGACCAGACUCCUACGGGAGGCAGCAGUGAGGAAUAUUGGUCAAUGGGCGAGAGCCUGAACCAGCCAAGUCGCGUGAAGGAAGAAGGAUCUAUGGUUCGUAAACUUCUUUUGCAGGGGAAUAAAGUGCGGGACGUGUCCUGUUUUGUAUGUACCCUGAGAAUAAGGAUCGGCUAACUCCGUGCCAGCAGCCGCGGUAAUACGGAGGAUCCGAGCGUUAUCCGGAUUUAUUGGGUUUAAAGGGUGCGUAGGUGGUUUUAUAAGUCAGCGGUGAAAGUUUGCAGCUUAACUGUAAAAAUGCCGUUGAAACUGUAAGACUUGAGUGUAAAUGAGGUAGGCGGAAUGCGUGGUGUAGCGGUGAAAUGCAUAGAUAUCACGAAGAACUCCGAUUG
rnacentral:rRNA from 1 species